rnacentral:rRNA from 1 species
UGAUAGCGGCGGACGGGUGAGUAAUGCCUACGAAUCUGCCUGGUAGUGGGGGAUAACGUUCGGAAACGGACGCUAAUACCGCAUACGUCCUACGGGAGAAAGCAGGGGACCUUCGGGCCUUGCGCUAUCAGAUGAUCCUAGGUCGGAUUAGCUAGUUGGUGGGGUAAUGGCUCACCAAGGCGACGAUCCGUAACUGGUCUGAGAGGAUGAUCAGUCACACUGGAACUGAGACACGGUCCAGACUCCUACGGGAGGCAACAGUGGGGAAUAUUGGACAUGGGCGAAAGCCUGAUCCGCCAUGCCGCGUGUGUGAAGAAGGUCUUCAGAUUGUAAAGCUCUUUAAGUUGGGAGGAAGGGUUGUAGAUUAAUACUCUGCAAUUUUGACGUUACCGACAGAAUAAGCACCGGCUAACUCUGUGCCGGCAGCCGCGGUAAUACAGAGGGUGCAAGCGUUAAUCGGAAUUACUGGGCGUAAAGCGCGCGUAGGUGGUUUGUUAAGUUGGAUGUGAAAUCCCCGGGCUCAACCUGGGAACUGCAUUCCAAACUGACUGACUAGAGUAUGGUAGAGGGUGGUGGAAUUUAUGUGUAGCAUUCAUGCGUAGAUAUAAAAGGACAACAUUGGCAAAGCGACAUCUGGACUAUACUGACUUGAUGUGCUAAACCUGAGAGCAACGCGAUAGAUCCCCGGUAUCCACGCCGUAACGACUCACUAACCUUGAAGCUUGAGUUUUAGUGCGCGCUACGCAUUAAGUGACGCCUGGGAGUACGCCCCGGGUAAACUCAAUGAAUGACCGGGCCGC